rnacentral:ncRNA from 1 species
CCAAAAAGGCUUCUCAUCUACCUGGGCAGGGCGAAGCCAGAGGAAACUCUGGUGGAGGUCCGUAGCGGUCCUGACGUGCAAAUCGGUCAUCCGACCUGGGUCUAGGGGAGACUAAUCGAACCAUCUAGUAGCUGG